GUGCAUUUCUGAAACCCCUCAGAUUUCUUUUUCUGUGACUUCUGAGACAAGAAGAGAUGCCAUAGUAAACCUGUGAGAUUUCCAAUGUGCAGAGAUCCAUAUUCUUGGCUUUGUUUAAUUUCACAUCUUGCACACAUGCU